ACCUUAAAUAUGAGAUCCACAGCAACAGAAUUCAGCCUCAUUUCCACUCAGUUUGAGAGCAUCUUGAAGGCCUUUCGCAAAGUGAAACGCAACAACCGUUCAGCUUUACAAAGGUGUUUAUGUACUCAAAAGAAUGUAGUGAGGCAUCCGGCUACUCUCUGCUGUUGAAUCGCAGUGCUGUGAAGCCAGUCAGCACAGCCAAA